rnacentral:rRNA from 1 species
UAAUACAUCGGAACGUGUCUUCUAGUGGGGGAUGACUGCCCGAAAGGGCAGCUAAUACCGCAUGAGACCUGAGGGUGAAAGCGGGGGAUCGCAAGACCUCGCGCUGGAAGAGCGGCCGAUGUCCGAUUAGCUAGUUGGUGAGGUAAAGGCUCACCAAGGCGACGAUCGGUAGCUGGUCUGAGAGGACGACCAGCCACACUGGGACUGAGACACGGCCCAG